rnacentral:rRNA from 1 species
UGGGGAAUAUUGCACAAUGGGGGGAACCCUGAUGCAGCGACGCCGCGUGAGCGAAGAAGGUUUUCGAAUCGUAAAGCUCUGUCCUAUGAGAAGAUAAUGACGGUAUCAUAGGAGGAAGCCCCGGCUAAAUACGUGCCAGCAGCCGCGGUAAUACGUAUGGGGCGAGCGUUGUCCGGAAUUAUUGGGCGUAAAGGGUACGUAGGCGGUUUUUUAAGUCAGGUGUGAAAGCGUGAGGCUUAACCUCAUUAAGCACUUGAAACUGGAAGACUUGAGUGAAGGAGAGGAAAGUGGAAUUCCUAGUGUAGCGGUGAAAUGCGUAGAUAUUAGGAGGAAUACCGGUGGCGAAGGCGACUUUCUGGACUUUUACUGACGCUCAGGUACGAAAGCGUGGGGAGCAAACAGGAUUAGAUACCCUGGUAGUCCACGCCGUAAACGGUGAAUGCUAGGUGUUGGGAGUCAAAUCUCGGUGCCGAAGUUAACACAUUAAGCAUUCCGCCUGGGGAGUACGGUGGCAACACUG